CAAAAACCAUCUGAGAGAAGCACUGAGAACACUUCAGGAGCACAAACAACCCCAUGACACCCUGGCACGCAGAUGCUCUGUGGCUUACCCACCCCGUGUGCUGCAGCACCAAGGAAGCUCACAUGAUACAUGCAGCCGUUCCUCCAGUCCUGCUCAUCCCUGCAGACUGUUCUCCUUUGACAGCAAAUGUGGCAAAUGAUGGAAGAUGGUGGGAAGGUGCAGCACAUUCUUGUUGGUG
rnacentral:lncRNA from 1 species